GACGGAGGAUGCAAGCGUUAUCCGGAAUGAUUGGGCGUAAAGCGUCUGCAGGUGGCAGUUCAAGUCUGCUGUCAAAGACCGGGGCUUAACUUCGGAAAGGCAGUGGAAACUGAACAGCUAGAGUAUGGUAGGGGCAGAGGGAAUUCCUGGUGUAGCGGUGAAAUGCGUAGAGAUCAGGAAGAACAUCGGUGGCGAAGGCGCUCUGCUGGACCAUAACUGACGCUGAGGAGCGAAAGCCAGGGGAGCAAACGGG
rnacentral:rRNA from 1 species